AUGGUUAAUCUUUCGUUCAAGUUCUGCUCCUGGAACGUGCGCGGCUUGGGGCAAAAACAAAAGUGCUCCGACGUCUUAGCUGAGCUCCUUGCCAUUAAUCCCCAUGCCUGCUUCCUGCAGGAAACCAAGCUUAGCUCCCUCCCCCUCAAGCAACACUCCUUCCUCCCCAAAAACCUCGACCUCACUCACACCCUCCCAGCCACCGGCUCGGCCGGAGGCAUGCUCUCAGCUUUCUCCUCUACUCACUUCUCCCUCAUCUCUUCUGACGCCGGAGCCUACUCGCAGACCUCAAACACCUCCUGCCUCGCCUCUCCUCACCCCCUUACCAUUACAAACGUUUACGCUCCUAUGGAUCAUGCCCUAAAACAAAUCUUUCUCGACGAGCUUGAGUCCUUUGCUCCUACAACGCCGACCCCGUGGAUCAUCCUUGGCGAUUUUAACUUGUUAAGAUUCCCUUCGGACAAGAACACGCACUCCUUUCGGCAAUCCGAGGCUGACCUGUUCAACGCGUUUAUUCAUCGGAAUGGCCUCAUCGAGCUUCCCUUGCUAGACCGUAGCUAUACUUGGUCUAGCAAAAGGGACAAGCCAACCCUUGAAAAAAUUGACCGAGUUUUUAUCAACGUUGAUUGGGAUAUUCUCUUCCCCAACACCACGAUCGCUUCCCUUACUCGAUACAUCUUGGAUCAU
rnacentral:rRNA from 1 species